rnacentral:tRNA from 1 species
GGAAGGAUGGCCGAGUGGUCGAAGGCGCUUGCUUGGAGUGCAAGUGUGCUGGAAACAGUACCGUGGGUUCGAAUCCCACUCCUUCCG